GAUGAACGCUGGCGGCGUGCCUAAUACAUGCAAGUCGAGCGAACGGACGAGAAGCUUGCUUCUCUGAUGUUAGCGGCGGACGGGUGAGUAACACGUGGAUAACCUACCUAUAAGACUGGGAUAACUUCGGGAAACCGUAGCUAAUACCGGAUAAUAUUUUGAACCGCAUGGUUCAAAAGUGAAAGACGGUCUUGCUGUCACUAUAGAUGGAUCCGCGCUGCAUUAGCUAGUUGGUAAGGUAACGGCUUACCAAGGCAACGAUGCAUAGCCGACCUGAGAGGGUGAUCGGCCAAACUGGAACUGAGACACGGUCCAGACUCCUACGGGAGGCAGCAGUAGGGAAUCUUCCGCAAUGGGCGAAAGCCUGACGGAGCAACGCCGCGUGAGUGAUGAAGGUCUUCGGAUCGUAAAACUCUGUUAUUAGGGAAGAACAUAUGUGUAAGUAACUGUGCACAUCUUGACGGUACCUAAUCAGAAAGCCACGGCUAACUACGUG
rnacentral:rRNA from 1 species